GGGGAAUCUUGCGCAAUGCGCGACAGCGUGACGCAGCAACGCCGCGUGGGGGAAGACGGCCUUCGGGUUGUAAACCCCUUUCAGGAGGGCCGCAGGUUCGCCGGUGAAUAGCCGUACGCAUUGACGGUACCUCCGCAAGAAGCUCCGGCUAACUCCGUGCCAGCAGCCGCGGUAAUACGUAGGGAGCAAGCGUUGGCCGGAAUCAUUGGGCGUAAAGCGCGCGUAGGUGGCCAUGUAAGUCCGCUGUGAAAGUCAAAGGCUCAACCUUUGAAAGCCGGUGGAUACUGCGUGGCUAGAGUACGGAAGAGGCGAGUGGAAUUCCUGGUGUAGCGGUAGAAUGCGCAGAUAUCAGGAGGAACACCAAUAGCGAAGGCAGCUCGCUGGGACGUUACUGACACUGAGGCGCGAAAGCGUGGGGAGCGAA
rnacentral:rRNA from 1 species